UUGAACGCUGGCGGCAGGCCUAACACAUGCAAGUCGAGCGGAUGAAGGGAGCUUGCUCCUGGAUUCAGCGGCGGACGGGUGAGUAAUGCCUAGGAAUCUGCCUGGUAGUGGGGGAUAACGUCCGGAAACGGGCGCUAAUACCGCAUACGUCCUGAGGGAGAAAGUGGGGGAUCUUCGGACCUCACGCUAUCGGAUGAGCCUAGGUCGGAUUAGCUAGUUGGUGGGGUAAAGGCCUACCAAGGCGACGAUCCGUAACUGGUCUGAGAGGAUGAUCAGUCACACUGGAACUGAGACACGGUCCAGACUCCUACGGGAGGCAGCAGUGGGGAAUAUUGGACAAUGGGCGAAAGCCUGAUCCAGCCAUGCCGCGUGUGUGAAGAAGGUCUUCGGAUUGUAAAGCACUUUAAGUUGGGAGGAAGGGCAGUAAGUUAAUACCUUGCUGUUUUGACGUUACCAACAGAAUAAGCACCGGCUAACUUCGUG
rnacentral:rRNA from 1 species